rnacentral:misc_RNA from 1 species
UACGUAAGGGGCGAGCGUUGUUCGGAUUAACUGGGUGUAAAGGGUCUGUAGGCGGCCAGGUAAGUCGGGCGUGAAAUCCCGGGGCUUAACCCCGGAACUGCGUCCGAUACUGCUUGGCUUGAGUACGUGAGAGGUGAGCGGAAUUCCAGGUGUAGCGGUGAAAUGCGUAGAUAUCUGGAAGAACACCAGUGGCGAAGGCGGCUCACUGGCACGAUACUGACGCUCAGGGACGAAGGCGUGGGGAGCAAACAGG